GCUGAGAGGUCUAAUAACUA
rnacentral:miRNA from 1 species